GACAAUAUGGAGGAGCACUAGGAAUGGCAGGAUAUCAGACAAAUGCAUCAGAGAACACAGCAGAGAAUCAUCUCUUAAUUUGGCAAAGUCUCUCCAAGAAGUCUUGAAUAAUCUCAGCAAAGAUCCAGGAUCCCAGGAGAUCAUUUACAGCUCUCUAACAAGGAAAAGGAGACCUGCUGGAAUCCAGAAAUUACAUUAAACUUCCUUUUAGAAGAGGCUUCCACUCUGCAGUCACACAUUUUGAAUGUAUAACCACACAGAUGAAAAUGUUUUCCUCUUAAGUCCCUCACAGCUUUACAGAUGUUUUUGAAAAUAGAGGAGAGAAGAAAAGAAGGCAUGGACACAGAGCAACAGAGCUCCGUGGUUUUGUACAGAUUGCUAAUCAUAUUUCAAACCAGAACCGCCUGCUGAAGACCUGCAGAAAAAAAAGUGGAAGAAUUCUUAAUGUCCUAAUUUGAGAGGAGGUUAUAGCACAAUAUUAAGAUCAAACUGCCUCAUGCUUGAAAUCAAGAACAAACCUCUCUUCUUUGACAAAAAGGCCAACAAGAGUAUGAUGAAUUUUACUACUUCUGAGAAGAACUAUUGGUACUAUACAGCAGCUGCGAGCCUGCCCACUGCUGAUGUGCAAUGCAUUUGUCCUACAGCCUGGGCUGAAAGAAGUCAGAGUAAAAAUCUUUUGUCUGAAGCUACAAGUAGAAGGAAGAGCCACUGACAGGGUCUCACUCUUUCUGCUCAGCCUUCCAAAGUCUGUUCUGAAGAUAGCCAAGAAAUCUGCAGAGCUUUCAUUAUUUCUGAGGAAUCCGUAUCUUUCACUUAGGCAAGAGAUAAAAAUUUGAGGAAGCAAGACACAAACCGCUCUUGGGAUUGGCUAACAGAAUCUCUGCUGUGAAGCCCAUCUACAACAUGGCAGGGUCAUUGUUUCCGUCUGGCAAAGGAGGUUUUGUUUGCAACAGGUGACAAUGUGUUGGUGCAAACAGCAAGCUGUGUGUAAUAGUUACUCCACAAGCUUUGAGGGUCCUUAUCAGAGUCCCUCACUCUGUGAUACAUACAAAAGAGGACACGAAGCUGGUCUCUGGAAAGGAAAUACAGAAGACUUCUGAGCUUGUGCCAGACCCCAGUGAAGUCCAAGUGAGGGCCCAAGUGUUCUGUCAUUAUCCUUUCCUGUUGGCACAUGGAGCACAAUGGGACAGCAGUCCUACUAAGAGCCUCUAGGGGCUACUGCAGUUCAAUAAAUCACAAUAAAUAGACUGCAAAUCCAGUUUUGAGUCUGAUAUGGGCUCUGUUAAUCUCUGGUGUGCUGUCUUGGACUUCAGAAGAGUUACAUGCAAUGGAAUAUUGCCCACUGAGCCUUUGCUGACUGCUCUCGCAUUGCCAUGAAGGAAAAAGGAUCACAACAAACAUCAGCUUUCCCAGCUCCUGCAAUUAACCUCCAGGACAUAUUAGCAGCAGCCUUUUAAGCAGUUUUUACAGCUAGUGAUGCUGGGCAGCACGGUCAUGGAGUGACUGGCUCUAUACCAUGGAGAAGUGAUCUCUUUGGCAGGAGGUGUGGUGCAGCCCCUUCACCUACAGUGCUAAUGAGUUACUGCCAUCAGCUGCCAAUCCUCAGGAAGAACCUGUUCUUCAGGUUGUCCUUUGUGUGAGAGGGCCUGAACUCCCAACAUCUCCAGGAAUGCAGAGGUCUAUUAAUUAUGCUGCUGUCUCUGAACAUGGCUCCAAAGAAUGGGGUGACCACCUUUUUCAAUAAAAUUGCAGAUUUACAAUUUUCCAGCUCAGUGAAUUGUUGGUAUUUAAAUAUAUUGAAAGGCCACUGCCAGACUGUUCUGCCUUCCUGUGCUGCAUUUUACUGAGAAGGGAGGUGCUGGAAGGGUGCACGAGAAGAGAAAGAAAAGGAGCAGAGAAGAAAAAACAGGGCAGGAAGGCAGGCAGAUAAGAUGGUAGGAAAAGCUUUCAAGAUCAGAAGGAAUUUGAGUGUCUGGAAGGACCUAAAGCUCAGAGAUACAAAAUAAUAAAAUAUCCAGCUCAGAAAGCUCACCCUCUCCUCUCAUUGCUUAUGGAAACAGUAAUGCUCCUGAGGGCACUUGAGUACUGCUGGCAUUGGACACCACUGGCGGAGGAAGCAUCAUGGCAAUCUUCUGCUAACAGCUCAGCUGAAUGCCAGGAAACUGAUUUAGAGGACUGAGCCCAGUACAAGUGGUCUGUGAAGCUGGAAGGACCUUCUCCACUGGGAUGAUCACAUGUUCAUGUGCUCCCACUCUCACAAAAAGGAAAAUUGGUGAAAAUGGAGAAGAGGAUCAUGAUAAUCUGUGUAGACAAUUCAGGUGUUCCAUAGCAGUCCUGUGGACAAAGCAGUAAGGUGGAGCCAAGCCAAGUCAAGACACCUAAAGUUUUUGACAAGAACACUUACCUUAACAUACCAGCACUCAUGUACUUGUUUUAACCUGAUGGAGUUAUGUAUAACUGAUGUAGGGGUUGGGAAAGUCAUCUGACAUCAGCAUAAGGAAAAUUUUAAGCUCUCUCAGUUUCUAGCACAUGAUUUUUGAGACAUUUUAAUCCUCUUCCUUUCAAGUGUGGAUUUACUGGGGAGGUCGAGGGGUCAUUAACACUUCCCCUGCUCCUCCACCAUUAACAGGCAAACUCAUCAAGGUCUGGUGUUGGAUUCUAUUAUUUCAUUAAUGCACAUACCUCUAUUUGGGCUUUUUCCUCCAGCCAAAUCUUCAUCAUCUAUUUCUUUAACAGUAUUUGAAGUUUAGAAAUUGUCUUUCAUUUAAAUAUCAUCAGCUCAAAGCUCCAGUAACAGACCUUACUGGUUUUAGACAUUGCAGGUGUUCUAGGAGGAAGAAAGGAGGCUUGCCCAAAAUUGUUUUGCUUGCUAUUGCAAGGACCAGAGCCACAAUGGACAAGCUGUUUUACCCUGCUGCACCAAUGAUUAUAUAUCACUUUGUGGGCAGUAGAGAGGGGCAAGAUCUUCACCAGGCAGCCUCUUGAUGCAGAUUGACAAAACAGAUGGAACUAAAACGGGAUAACUGGCACCAUAUCAAAUGUGGUAAAGCAAGGAUAGCUCCUCUGCUGCUGUAGAUGCAGGCUGAUAUCUGCCUACAUUAACUCCCUUUGAAAAUCCCUCAAGGAUGCACAGUUUUAUACGGCCAAAUACCCCUCCUUAUGUAAAUGUAUUUAGUCAGUGUCAUUUUAUGGUUAUGCACACAAAGGCAGAAGAAUAUGACAUCACUAAGUGCACCCUCAGACACCAAGUUGAGUGCUAUGGUUUACACACCUGAAGGAUGAGAUGCCAUCCAGAGGGACGUGGACAAGCUCCAGAAGUGGUUGCAUGGGAAUCUCAGGAGAUUUAAGACCAAGUUGAAGGUGCUGCACAUGGAUCAGGGCAACCUGCACUAUCAAUACAGACUGGGGAUGAACAGAUCAAGAGCCUGACAAGAAGGUGGAUGAGAGGCUGGACAUGGCCUGGCAGUGUGCACUUGCA